UACGUAGGGUGCGAGCGUUAAUCGGAAUUACUGGGCGUAAAGCGUGCGUAGGCGGUUCGUUAAGUGCGUCGUGAAAGCCCCGGGCUCAACCUGGGAAUGGCGAUGGAAACUGGCGGGCUGGAGUAUGGCAGAGGGGGGUGGAAUUCCGCGUGUAGCAGUGAAAUGCGUAGAGAUGCGGAGGAACACCGAUGGCGAAGGCAGCCCCCUGGGCCAAUACUGACGCUCAGGCACGAAAGCGUGGGGAGCAAACGGG
rnacentral:rRNA from 1 species